UCGGAAGUAGUUCAGUGGUAGAACCCACCUUGCCAAGUGGAGGUCGCGGGUUCGACCCCCGUCUUCCGCUCCA
rnacentral:tRNA from 1 species